rnacentral:rRNA from 1 species
GCGUUGUUCGGAUUUAUUGGGCGUAAAGCGUGCGUAGGCGGCGGGGUAAGUGAGGUGUGAAAUCCCAGGGCUUAACCCUGGAACUGCACUUUAUACUGCCUUGCUAGAGGGCUGGAGAGGAGACUGGAAUUUACGGUGUAGCAGUGAAAUGCGUAGAGAUCGUAAGGAAGACCAGUGGCGAAGGCGAGUCUCUGGAAAGCUGCUGACGCUGAGGCACGAAGGCCAG